CUCGGAGGGUGGGGCCCAGGCCCCUGAUCAGGGCCAAGGGAAGAGGCCCUGGGGCCAUCCCUUCCCUGUCAAGGGUUGAGGAUGGGUGGAGCUGGCAGCCUGGCCCGAGCCGGUGUGGCGCCUGAAGGCAGACCCUCAUCUGGCAGAACAUCAAGAGCCCAGUAAGAGAGGUUAAAGCUAAAGAGCAGGAAGCACCUCUCAGUGGGGCGAGAGUCACUGGUCUAGGGAGCUACACAACCCUCUGACCAAGGGCCCACGUUCCUUGAUCACCGGGGGGCCGGUCUCUCUGAGAUACAGGACGAAUGUCUCGGGAGAAAGGCAGGCAGGUUUGGCUUUGAAUGGGGGAAGCUUACCGGAUUUCUUGCCCUUGACAGCAGAGGCAACUCCAGAGUAGCUGCAAAAGCCCGCCCCCCCAGAGCCCAGCUCAGCUCCUGAAGGGAAGGACUUAGGUGCCAAUGAGGCUUGAGCACCCAGCCAAUGCACUCCCCCAGGACCCAGCACAUUUUGUUCCCUGAUGCAUCUCAUGUACCUAGUACAGUGGUUGGCACAGAAUAAACACCCAAGAACUAUUUGGCAAAGACAUUAAGUGGUAGGUGAAUGGUGAAACUGAAGGAUAGAGACAGGGAGGAUGAAGGGAUGGAUGGAUGGAUGAGUGGACGAGGGAUGGACGGAGAUGGCAAAGGGAUGGGUGGCUGUGUGAGUAAGGGAAGCAAAGGCAGCUGGAUAGAUGUACAGAUGAAUGAACGAAUGAACUGAUGGAGUGAGGAAUGAUGGGAAAUCCGUUCCACGGCCACCUGGACCAAACAUGGAAAUCCGUCAGGCAGUUCACCUCGUGGUGCACCCUCAGGGCCUGAGUGACAUCGAGGGAGACCAGAGAGGAGCUCAGAGGGCGGCCAGGCACAAGGCACGGGGUCACCCCAGCGCCCCCCCAACCCCGACUCGGCACAGACCCGACAGAUGGCUGUGGCACGCGCCCCCACUCAGGCUCGCUGCCGCACUGCGGGGCUACACCUGCCCCCCAACAACAGGUGACAUCCCCCUCUCCAGCCCGAGCCCCAGGGUUGUGUCCUGUCCCCACCCCAUCACCUCCUCUAAGUAGCUACAGAGGACGCUCUCCAGACUCAGCUCGUCAGCCUGCAGCUUCUGGGCCAGCUUCUCCAGCGGCAGCUCCAGGAUGGGCUUAGGGUCCAGCUCUGGCUCCUGCAGAGGUGGGGGGUGGGGGGUGGACGGGCGUCAGAUUGCUCCGCCCAGGCCCCUCCGCACAUUCCACACAUCACACCCACAAUACUCCAGUGGACACAAUGUGCUCGUCGCAUCUUCCUGUGCUCAUGCUUAGCAUUAAAAACAGUUUCUGGGAGUUCCCGCCGCGGCACAGUGGAGACAAAUCCAACUAGUAUCCAUGAGGAUGUGGGUUCCAUUCCUGGCCUUGCUCAGUGGGUUGAUGAUCCGGUGUUGCCGUGAGCUGUGGUGUAGGUCACAGAUGCAGCUCGGAUCUGGUGUGGCUGUGGCUGUGGCUGUGGCUGCGGCGUAGGCUGGUGGCUACAGUUCUGAUUAGACCCCUAGCCUGGGAACCUCCAUAUGCCACAGGUGCAGCCCUAAAAAGACCAAAAAAAAGAAAAAAAGAAGAAAGAAAUUCAAGCAAGGAUCUAAAUCACCCCCAAAGUGCAUGGCUCUCUCUCCAUCUGUCUGUCUCCGUCGCUCUCUCCCUCCGUCGCUCUACACCUCCACGGGUGUCUUCUCUCCUAAUGAACACUUCACUUGCCCCUCCCCCAAAAAAAAUGUAAAGCAAGGCUUUACUGGGGCUCCUGCUGCAGCAGGAGGGAGCAAAGGCUAGUAAUACGU
rnacentral:lncRNA from 1 species